UACGUAGGGGGCAAGCGUUGUCCGGAAUCAUUGGGCGUAAAGAGCGCGUAGGCGGCCCAGUAAGUCCGCUCUGAAAGUCAGGGGCUCAACCCCUGAAUGCGGGUGGAUACUGCUGGGCUAGAGUCCGGAAGAGGCGAGUGGAAUUCCUGGUGUAGCGGUGAAGUGCGCAGAUAUCAGGAGGAACACCGGUGGCGAAGGCGGAUCUCUGGGCCUUGCCUGACGCUGAGGCGCGAAAGCUAGGGGAGCGAACAGG
rnacentral:rRNA from 1 species